rnacentral:rRNA from 1 species
GAUGAACGCUAGCGGCAGGCUUAACACAUGCAAGUCGAGGGGCAGCACGGUGUAGCAAUACAUUGGUGGCGACCGGCGCACGGGUGCGUAACGCGUAUACAAUUUGCCUUAUACUGGGAGAUAGCCCGGAGAAAUUCGGAUUAGUAUCCCAUAAUAAUUUUGGUCCGCAUGGAUUGAUUUUUAAAGCUACGGCGGUAUAAGAUGAGUAUGCGUCUGAUUAGCUAGUUGGUAAGGUAACGGCUUACCAAGGCAACGAUCAGUAGGGGGCCUGAGAGGGUUAUCCCACACACGGGAACUGAGACACGGUUCAGACUCCUACGGGAGGCAGCAGUGAGGAAUAUUGGGCAAUGGAGGCAACUCUGAACCAGCCAUGCCGCGUGUAGGAAGAAGGCCCUAUGGGUUGUAAACUACUUUUAUUGGGGAAGAAACCCUCUUACGUGUAAGAGGCUGACGGUACCCAAGGAAUAAGGACCGGCUAACUCCGUGCCAGCCGCCGCCGUAA